CUUUGUUUGUUUCUCCUGCCCCGACAAUGGCAAGUCACAGGCCCCGUGCCCAAGGCCACGGUGCAGGCGCAGACUUCCAGGGAAAUCGCAAAGGAAAGGUAGAAAUCCCUAGGAAGGAAGGAGCGACAGCGGCUGAGGUGGCUGCAGCCCAAGGACAACAGACCUCAUCAGUAUGGGACAUGCAGCAGCUGUAAGAGGCUACAACAAAGUGGCUGUGACUCCAAGAAUUGGACAUGAGCCGUGAGAGCCCUUCUCUCACUUCCCAUGGGAACACUGCUGUGGGUAGAGAGAGACCCCUGCCAUCUGCAGGCAGAGCUGUUUCUGGUGGUUGAGAGCUGGGGACUAAGCUCUUCUCAAAGUUCAAGAUGGCCAUUCCUCUCCCACAGCGCGUCAACCAACGCAGCACGGAGUGAAUGUCUGGGACCUGAGGCUGAGACGCGAGAAGCCUCCCAGACGCCACUUGCCAGCUUGGAGGAGGGAGGGAAUGGAGAGAACUGAGCAUUUACUUCAUAUCCGCAUCCCCACAACCUCUGGCUUAUCCCACAUUUGAGAACGUUCCUUAAUAGGAAAUAAAAUCUGAUAGGAAACAGAAGUGCCUUUUCAAUCACCAAAAAAGCAUUUUGGGGCUGCCUGGGUGGCUCAGUGGUUUGGGGCCUCUGCCUUCGGCUUGGGUCAUGGUCCCAGGGUCCUGGGAUCGAGCCCCGCAUGGGGCUCUCUGGUUAGCAGGGAGCCUGCUUCCUCCUCUCUCUCCCUGCCUACUUGUGAUCUCUGUCUGUCAAAUAAAUAAGUGAAAUCUUUAAAAAAAGCAUUUUUUGAUGGUAAAGGAGGUGUAUCCCCCUCCCAGGGUGGGAUGGAAAGAACCAGCUGGAAGCUUCCCCAUGCACUGGGCUAGCGUGGGUAGAUAACCCUGGCAUUUGUGGAGGCCAGACCUGGGCAGUCACGGCACCUCUCCCCUUCCACACACAAACAAGUGACUGGACUCCUGAGCUCUGACCUGUUAGGCUCUCAGUCACUUUUUGUUGUUGUUAUGGACGGAUGUUUGUGUCCUCCUUCUCCCAACCAUGUGUUGAAAUGUGCUUCCUUCUGUGAGGGUCUUGGGACAUAGGGCCUUUGGGAGCUGCUUGGAAUUAGAUGAGGUCCCAAGUGUGGAGCCCUCGUGAGUGGAAACAGUACCCUCAUAGAGUUCACGAGAAAAUCUGCUUCCUAUCCCGGCCCUGCCACACAGUGAGAAGGCAGCCGUGGGCCACCCAGAAGAGGACUCCCUCCAGAGCCACGCUGGCACGCCCACCUUCUACCUCCAGCCUCCUGAACUGUGAGAAAUAACUGCUUAAUUUUUAUGUGCCACCCAGUGGACGGUAUUCUGUGAUCGAAACCUGGGCAAGACAUCGUCAGAAGUCGUGACUGGAUCAGACUGGAGACGGGGCUCAGGAGCUAGGACUUGGAGCACAGGCCAUCUGAGAACUCUGUG